rnacentral:rRNA from 1 species
UCCGCUGACGACCGGCGCACGGGUGCGUAACGCGUAUGCAACCUACCUUCUACAGGGGGAUAGUCAAUAGAAAUGUUGAAUAAUACCCCAUACGAUCUUUGAAUAGCAUUAUUUAAAGAAGAAAGCUCCGGCGGUAGAAGAUGGGCAUGCGUCCUAUUAGUUAGUUGGUAAGGUAACGGCUUACCAAGACUUCGAUAGGUAGGGGUCCUGAGAGGGAGACCCCCCACACUGGUACUGAGACACGGACCAGACUCCUACGGGAGGCAGCAGUGAGGAAUAUUGGACAAUGGAGGCAACUCUGAUCCAGCCAUGCCGCGUGCAGGAAGACUGCCCUAUGGGUUGUAAACUGCUUUUAUACAGGAAGAAAUAUACCUACGUGUAGGUAUUUGACGGUACUGUACGAAUAAGGAUCGGCUAACUCCGUGCCAGCAGCCGCGGUAAUACGGAGGAUCCAAGCGUUAUCCGGAAUCAUUGGGUUUAAAGGGUCCGUA